rnacentral:rRNA from 1 species
GGUGAGGUAAAGGCUCACCAAGCCUUCGAUCUGUAGCUGGUCUGAGAGGACGACCAGCCACACUGGGACUGAGACACGGCCCAGACUCCUACGGGAGGCAGCAGUGGGGAAUUUUGGACAAUGGGCGAAAGCCUGAUCCAGCCAUGCCGCGUGCAGGAUGAAGGCCUUCGGGUUGUAAACUGCUUUUGUACGGAACGAAAAGGUCUUUUCUAAUAAAGAAGGCUCAUGACGGUACCGUAAGAAUAAGCACCGGCUAACUACGUGCCAGCAGCCGCGGUAAUACGUAGGGUGCGAGCGUUAAUCGGAAUUACUGGGCGUAAAGCGUGCGCAGGCGGUUAUAUAAGACAGUUGUGAAAUCCCCGGGCUCAACCUGGGAACUGCAUCUGUGAC